GAACGCACAUUGCACUCCUUUGGAGUAUUCCUGUUUGAGACUCUAUAGUAUUUAUUUUUUGCUUUCUAGCAAUAGGGGGCCAAAAGAUUUGAGGUGUCUCCUCUACCUAGUAGAGAGAGUACCUUUAAUAGUAUAGCCUCUUUUGUGGUAAAUUACUCUGCAGAACAGUAUUUGAAUGGAACUUUGUUUCUUUAAUGCCCAAUAUGCAGAUUGCCUAUAAAAAGGGGGUCCAUAACUUGAAAGUAACCCAGUUACUUGAACCAUGGUCUCAAAUCAGGUAGGAAUACCCGCUGAACUUAAG
rnacentral:misc_RNA from 1 species